UUAAUUGAAGAGUUUGAUCAUGGCUCAGAUUGAACGCUGGCGGCAGGCCUAACACAUGCAAGUCGAGCGGCAGCACAGAGGAACUUGUUCCUUGGGUGGCGAGCGGCGGACGGGGGAGUAAUGCCUGGGAAAUUGCCCGGUAGAGGGGGAUAACCAUUGGAAACGAUGGCUAAUACCGCAUAACCUCGCAAGAGCAAAGCAGGGGACCUUCGGGCCUUGCGCUACCGGAUAUGCCCAGGUGG
rnacentral:rRNA from 1 species